GCACUCUAGCCUGGGUGACAGAGUGAGACUCUGUUUCAAAAAAAGAAAAGAAAAAAAACCCCAAACCAAUUAACUCAGCAGAUUUUGUUCACAUGAAUGGCCAGAGUACAACCCCUUAAAUGCUUGAAUUAAGAAAAAGGCUUCAGAUUUUAAGUUCUGAGGGUUUUUUCUGCUUGAUCUAGUCUAUCAUUGAAGCUUUUGAGUGUACUUUGUAUUUUCAUCCUAUGAUUUCUUCAGUUCCACAUUUGCUGUGUGUUCUAGAAAACUCCGUAUCUGGUUGGUAAUUACGUCAACCAUAUCCAGAAUUGCUUCUGUCAUUUUGCUCCUUUCUUUUUCAGAAGUGUCUUGUAUUCCCUAAUAUUGGUUAAAAUCAGUAUGCACAAUUCUCUAUCUGACAUUUCUUGAAUUUCUUUUGGAUAGGGAUCUGUUGCUGGAGAAUUACUGGGUUCCUUUGGAGGCAUCCCGUUUCCUUGCUUUUUUAUGUUUCCGGUGUCCUUCUGUUGAGAUCUGCACAUCUUGUGUAAAUUGCUUCUUCCAAGUUUGUGAAUUCGCUUUGUAAGGGAGGACUUUUUCCUUUUCCCCUCAUGUGGGAGCUGCAGGCUCCAAUAGCUUGCAACCUUAGCUAUGAGAUAGCAAUAUAAGCUUGCCGGUUUUACUUUGCCCCAACAGAUAAUCCAAUAAAGGCUGUGAACCAAAAUUCUGGGUAAAGCAGUCUCCAUGGCAGUUUGAUUUUUAAAGUCUAAACCUCCCCAGACUCCAACAAGGAUCGCUGGGGCCAAACUAUCAAAGGAAGGCAUCACACGUUAACCAGGCCCCCUACUUAGAACAGCAGCACAAAAGCCUAGUUACAUGCAACGCCAUCCUGCUUUUCCAUUAGACAGUAAACUUCAGAUUCUAAACAAUUUUGGGGCCAAGGAACAUUACAACUCUGAGAGAAAAUUCCAAGGAGGGCUUAAUACUAGACCUUAGAACCUCUGCAGAAGGCAUCCUCUUUGGAGAGUUUGAGGUCUGGAGGAUCUUCCAGAGCGUCCUCUUGUGGGAUCCAAACUUAGACUUCCAGACGUCUCUGGCGUUACUUAGGUGAGCACUGGUGCCACUUUACAUGCAUUCCCUCUAGAGCCUUCUAUGAACUUUAUAAGAAUAGCCAUGAACUGUAAUAAGAACUGAAUGCCAGGUGGGCCUUUUUGUUCCUUAGCCAGUAGAGUACAAUAAGGAAAUAAUUUAGCAUAACUCAGUUCUAAAAAGUGCCAAUAUUUUAAAACCUAUUAUUAUUUCCAAGAAUAAUUAAUUAUUAUAUUUGAAAAGUACUCAAUUUGUAAGUGAAGAUAACUUGUUUUAAUAGUCAUACUACAGGAUAAUUUGAACAUUAGUUUAUAAGUUCAUAUUAUAUGUGAAUCGUCAACAGAUGAUAACACAUGGCCCAGACAUUUUAAAUUACUUCAUCUCACUAUGUUUGACCUACCAUAUAUUUUUCGAAUUAUAAUUUCUUAAAGUUCUUCUAGAGUAAAAUAUAAGAAAACUCAAGCCUUCAAAAGUAUAUAUUGAUAUGGAUUCAUGCAGAUAUUAUAAGGUGUUCUAAAGAUUUUGUACAAAAUUACAAACAGUAUACAUUGAAUUAUUUUGAAAGCAAAAUGUGUGUGGGACUGUGUAUCUGUAUCAUAUCCGUCUCGAUGUAUACACAGUUUUUAAAUGACAUAUAUAUAUUUUAGACAGGCUCUCACCCUAUCACCCAGACUGGAAUACAGUGGCAUGAUCGUGGCUCACUGCACCAUCGACCUCCCUGGGCUGAAGUAAUCGUCUCAACUCAGACUUCCAAGUAACUUGAACUACAGGCAUGGAUCCCUGAAGUCUGUCCCUGUUACUACAAGACAUUUUGAUAUCAUAAUAAAACACUUCAGAUAUGAUGCUGAGUGAAAAAGCAGAAAGGGGAAGACUUGGUUGUGCGGGUACUGAGUUCUUUUCCUUUUCUUUUCUUUCUUUCUUUUUUUUUUGAGACCGAUUCUCGUUCUGUCACCCAGGCUGGAGUGCAAUGGAGCGAUCUCGGCUGGCCAUUACUGAGUUCUUGAAAAGAGGAGAUGUUUGAUUAGGCUUGGUCCGGAGAGCUGCCUUGGACUUUCUAAUGAAUUCAAACAGUUGCCUCUGUUACCUUGACUCCUCUCAGAUUCCAUUGACCCGAGAUGGGUCCUGGCACUAGGAAUGUAAGACUGUCUCCAUUAUUUUGGCUUGCUCCAGGUAAGGGAGAAGCCGGUGCAAGGUUCCUGCUGACCAUGUGUUUCUUUCUUUUCUUUUGUUUUUUUGAGACGAAGUUUCGCUCUUGUUGCCCAGGCUGGAGUGCC